rnacentral:antisense_RNA from 1 species
GUGUCUGGAGGUGAUCGGAAGGGACUGGCUGGAGUGUGGCGGGCUGACAGGUCUGAGGCCUGAAGGACUUCCGGGAACCGCAAAGCACGGUGUGCCUCCGUUGUCCUGAAGAAAAAGCCGCGCGCGGACGACUGGCCGGCCCACGCUUGCAGCUCCCAGAAGUUGACAGGCAUCCUCCGGUGACCGGUGUGAGUAUGGUAUCAGGAUGAUAUGACUGCAAGCAACAGAAAAAUCAAACAAAAAUGGCCCAAGCCAAGAAGAGAAAUGAUUAUUUCACAUUCCAAGAAGUUUGGGAGUCGAGUGGUUAAACGGCUAAUUAAUCUAGAGCUCAACAAUAUCACCCAGGACCCAUUUUCACUAUGGUGGCUAAAGCCCUGCACCCUUCAGGCUUGCACCAUGGCAGCAGCAGUGACAGUAAAGACACCCUUACACCACAAUGCUCCAUGACCAGGAAAAGGGUCUCCUCUCUCCUGCCCCUUUCUGGAGGCUCCACCGAAGAUUUCUCUUCACAUUCCGUUUCUCAUUCCUGAAGCAGUCGCUGGCAACAGGGAUGGACUUACCGCAUUGGGUACAGAGCAAUGAAGAUUCACCACUAGGUGAGUCCUUUGGAAAACACUUGGCCAUCCAAUAUAUAAACAAAUCUGGUACUCCUGUCAGGAAAGAGGCAGCACUUUAUGGCUUCUCUUGGG